rnacentral:rRNA from 1 species
AUUGAACGCUGGCGGCAGGCCUAACACAUGCAAGUCGAGCGGAUGAAGGGAGCUUGCUCCUGGAUUCAGCGGCGGACGGGUGAGUAAUGCCUAUGAAUCUGCCUGGUAGUGGGGGAUAACGUCCGGAAACGGGCGCUAAUACCGCAUACGUCCUGAGGGAGAAAGUGGGGGAUCUUCGGACCUCACGCUAUCAGAUGAGCCUAGGUCGGAUUAGCUAGUUGGUGGGGUAAAGGCCUACCAAGGCGACGAUCCGUAACUGGUCUGAGAGGAUGAUCAGUCACACUGGAACUGAGACACGGUCCAGACUCCUACGGGAGGCAGCAGUGGGGAAUAUUGGACAAUGGGCGAAAGCCUGAUCCAGCCAUGCCGCGUGUGUGAAGAAGGUCUUCGGAUUGUAAAGAACUUUAAGUUGGGAGGAAGGGCAGUAAGUUAAUACCUUGCUGUUUUGACGUUACCAACAGAAUAAGCACCGGCUAACUUCGUG